rnacentral:rRNA from 1 species
GACGAACGCUGGCGGCGUGCUUAACACAUGCAAGUCGAACGGAAAGGCCUCUUUCGGGGGGUACUCGAGUGGCGAACGGGUGAGUAACACGUGAGUAACCUGCCCUUGACUUUGGGAUAACUUCAGGAAACUGGGGCUAAUACCGGAUAGGAGCUCCUGCUGCAUGGUGGGGGUUGGAAAGUUUCGGCGGUUGGGGAUGGACUCGCGGCUUAUCAGCUUGUUGGUGGGGUAGUGGCUUACCAAGGCUUUGACGGGUAGCCGGCCUGAGAGGGUGACCGGCCACACUGGGACUGAGACACGGCCCAGACUCCUACGGGAGGCAGCAGUAGGGAAUCUUCCGCAAUGGACGAAAGUCUGACGGAGCAACGCCGCGUGAGCGAAGAAGGCCUUCGGGUCGUAAAGCUCUGUUGUUAGGGAAGAACAAGUAACGCAGUAACUGGCGUUACCGUGACGGUACCUAACGAGAAAGCCACGGCUAACUACGUG